rnacentral:rRNA from 1 species
UACGUAGGGUGCGAGCGUUAAUCGGAAUUACUGGGCGUAAAGCGUGCGCAGGCGGGUUUAUAAGCCAGAUGUGAAAGCCCCGGGCUCAACCUGGGAAUGGCAUUUGGGACUGUAAGGCUGGAGUAUGGCAGAGGAGACUAGAAUUCCUGGUGUAGCAGUGAAAUGCGUAGAUAUCAGGAGGAAUACCGAUGGCGAAGGCAGGUCUCUGGGCCAAUACUGACGCUCAUGCACGAAAGCGUGGGGAGCAAACAGG